rnacentral:rRNA from 1 species
AGCGGCAGACGGCUGAGUAACACGUAGGAACCUACCCCUCGGUAGAAUAUAGCCCCGAGAAAUCGGGGGUAAUCUUCUAUAAUAUCUCCGGAUUAAAGGGCGUAACUGCUCGCCAAGGGAGGGGCCUGCGGCCUAUCAGGUAGUUGGUGUGGUAAAAGCGCACCAAGCCUAUGACGGGUAGCUGACCUUAUGAGGGUGAUCAGCCAGAGGAGUACUGAGAUACGGACUCCACAUCUACGGAUGGCAGCAAUCAGGAAUCGUUGGCAAUGGGCGAAAGCCUGACCACGCGACACCGCGUGCGGGAAGAAGCCUCUCGGGGCGUAAACCGCUGUGGCGAGGGAAGAAAUCCCGAUUUAAUCGGGACUGACGGUACCUCGCAAGAAAGUAGCCGCUAACUUCGUGCCAGAAGCGUCGGUGAUACGGGGGCUACAAGCGUUAUCCGGUGUGACUGGGCGUAAAGGGUCUGUAGGCGGUCCUUCAAGUUACUUUUUAAAGGUCCCGAUCCAAUCGGGAAAAGGGAAGUAAUACUGUGGGACUGGAGUUUUCUUUAGGGUAAUCGGAAUUGAUAGAGGAGUAGUGAAAUGCGUUGAUACUAUCAAGAACACCAAUGGCGAAGGCAGAUUACUGGAAGAGGACUGACGCUGAAAGACGAAAGCUAGGGGAGCGAACCGGAUUAGAGACCCGGGUAGUCCUAGCCCUA